GACAAUUAUUUUGAUCUGGCUUAAACGUCUGUCACCCAUUGGCUGCCAGGGUUGGCAGCUGAUCUGGCUGGCUAGGCGGGUGUCCCUUUCCUCCCUUAUGGCUCCAUGUGCAUCCCUCCUGAAGCUGUACACUGGGUGGAAGGUGACCACUCCUGAGAGAGGAGAGCCAUUUCCUCAGGGGUAUAUGAGUAACUGCCCUCCCCUGCCAAAAGCUCUCAAGAGCCAGUCAUUCUUUUUGGGAGGAGGUAGCGGAGCACUAACAAUUGAACCAGGGCCUUGACAUAAGCUCUACCACAGCCUCAUUUUUUGU
rnacentral:snRNA from 1 species